rnacentral:rRNA from 1 species
AGCAGCCGCGGUAAUUCCAGCUCCAAUAGCGUAUAUUAAAGUUGUUGCAGUUAAAAAGCUCGUAGUUGGAUUUCGGGAUCAAUAUGUUGGUCGUGCCUUGGUACGUACUGGCAUUAUUGGUUUUUACCUUCUGAAGAACCUCGAUGUCAUUAAUUUGGUGUCUUGGGGAAUCAGGACUGUUACUUUGAAAAAAUUAGAGUGUUUAAAGCAGGCUUUAGCUUGAAUACAUUAGCAUGGAAUAAUGAAAUAGGACGUUCGAACCUAUUUUGUUGGUUUCUAGGAUCAACGUAAUGAUUAAUAGGGAUAGUUGGGGGCAUUAGUAUUCAAUUGUCAGAGGUGAAAUUCUUGGAUUUAUUGAAGACUAACUACUGCGAAAGCAUUUGCCAAGGAUGUUUUCAUUAAUCUAGAACGAAAGUUAGGGAUCGAAGACGAUCAGAUACCGUCGUAGUCUUAACCAUAAACUAUGCCGACUAGGGAUCGGGAUGAUG